GACGAACGCUGGCGGCGUGCUUAACACAUGCAAGUCGAGCGGUAAGGCCCUUUCGGGGGUACACGAGCGGCGAACGGGUGAGUAACGACGUGGGUGACCUGCCCUCAGCUCUGGGAUAAGCCCGGGAAACUGGGUCUAAUACUGGAUAUGACUCCAUGACGCAUGUUGUGGGGUGGAAAGCCUUGUGCGGCUGAGGAUGGGCCCGCGGCCUAUCAGCUUGUUGGUGGGNGAUGGCCUACCAAGGCGACGACGGGUAGCCGGCCUGAGAGGGCGACCGGCCACACUGGGACUGAGACACGGCCCAGACUCCUACGGGAGGCGAGCAGUGGGGAAUCUUGCGCAAUGGGCGAAAGCCUGACGCAGCGACGCCGCGUGAGGGAUGACGGCCU
rnacentral:rRNA from 1 species